CCCGGAGAGCUUGACAGUGUCCCUCUGGGGUGGAAAUGAGUUCCUUAGCUCCAUCACCACAGAGGACAGAGUAAGCAGCAGGCCGGACAAAGGGCAGGCCACAAGAAAAGUUGCAGGUGGUCACUGGGGUAGACAUGCUGUACAACCCUUCCCUGGCCCUGACCCUUGGACCUGGUUCCAUGUCCCCACCAGGAGGUGGCCAUGCGCAAGCUGGUGCGCUCAGUGACUGUGGUUGAGGACGACGAGGAUGAGGAUGGAGAUGACCUGCUCCAUCACCACCACGGCUCCCACUGCAGCAGCUCGGGGGACCCCGCUGAGUACAACCUGCGCUCGCGCACCGUGCUGUGCGGGACCUGCGGGCAGCCUGCCGACAAGGCAUCUGCCAGCGGCUCAGGAGCCCAGGUGGGCGGACCCAUCUCCUCUGGCUCUUCUGCCUCCAGUGUCACGGUCACUCGCAGCUACCGCAGUGUGGGGGGCAGUGGGGGUGGCAGCUUCGGGGACAAUCUGGUCACCCGCUCCUACCUCCUGGGCAACUCCAGCCCCCGAACCCAGAGCCCCCAGAACUGCAACAUCAUG
rnacentral:sRNA from 1 species